AUUGAACGCUGGCGGCAUGCCUUACACAUGCAAGUCGAACGGCAGCACGGACUUCGGUCUGGUGGCGAGUGGCGAACGGGUGAGUAAUAUAUCGGAACAUACCCUAGAGUGGGGGAUAACGUAGCGAAAGUUACGCUAAUACCGCAUACGAACUAAGGUUGAAAGUGGGGGAUCGCAAGACCUCAUGCUCAUGGAGUGGCCGAUAUCUGAUUAGCUAGUUGGUGAGGUAAAGGCUCACCAAGGCGACGAUCAGUAGCUGGUCUGAGAGGACGACCAGCCACACUGGAACUGAGACACGGUCCAGACUCCUACGGGAGGCAGCAGUGGGGAAUUUUGGACAAUGGGCGCAAGCCUGAUCCAGCCAUUCCGCGUGAGUGAAGAAGGCCUCGGUUGUAAGACGUCUUCGUCAAGGGAAGAAAACGUUAACCUACUAACCAUAGGUUAGUAGGCGUGACGGUACCGUU
rnacentral:rRNA from 1 species